UUUGGUCACUAAUUAUGUUUAUGCUGUUGCUGAUGCAGCAUACCAUACAAUGAGCUGAAGUGGAUCAAAUCGGAUAUGACAUUAUGCAAGAGAGAUGUGGG